rnacentral:rRNA from 1 species
UACGUAGGGUGCAAGCGUUGUCCGGAAUUAUUGGGCGUAAAGAGCUCGUAGGCGGUUUGUCGCGUCUGCUGUGAAAACGCGAGGCUCAACCUCGCGCCUGCAGUGGGUACGGGCAGACUGGAGUGCGGUAGGGGAGAUUGGAAUUCCUGGUGUAGCGGUGGAAUGCGCAGAUAUCAGGAGGAACACCGAUGGCGAAGGCGGGUCUCUGGGCAGUAACUGACGCUGAGGAGCGAAAGCGUGGGGAGCGAACAGG